ACAUACAUACAUAUGUGUGUGUAUGUAAUGAAUGGUUUUGAACAUGUUUGGGUUUUAGGUAAAAACGUGUGUGAUAAUAAACACUACAUCAUCAGGACAGGUGCGUUAUAAAUGUCCCGUGUGCUCUCUCUGUGUCGGGUCCUCAGGACCCCCAGAGGCUAAACCCUGACCCUCUGGGGGUCCUGAGGGUCAGGGUUAACCCACAGACCCUGACCCUCUGGACCCCCUGACCCUCUGGGGGUCCUGAGGGUCAGGGUUAACCCACAGACCCUGACCCUCUGGACCCCCCUGGGGCUGAAACGUUAGAGAGGGAAUCUGACUUCUAUUCUGAUCACCCAUUUUAGUUUUUACUUUUUUCAACCCUUUUUUUCUGCUCUUUUGUUGACAGAGUGUAUAUAGUAGAUAAUCAGGCUCAGAGGUCAAAGGUCAUCUGGUGACCUAGUGUAUAUAGUAGAUGAUCAGGCUCAGAGGUCAAAGGUCAUCUGGUGACCUAGUGUAUAUAGUAGAUGAUCAGGCUCAGAGGUCAAAGGUCAUCUGGUGACCUAGUGUAUAUAAUCAGUACUGACUAAACUGUUAAAUAAAUAAUUUACUUUGACAGCAUGAAAAGAAACAAAUAAUGCUUCAGGAGGUUUUAAAGGCUGUGUGUGUGUGUGUGUGUGUGUGUCUUCUGAAGCUUGGGAAGUUUUAAAACCAUGAUAAUAAUUUAAUAAUCAGAUAAUAAUUUAAUAAUCAGCUGUUUAAACAGCUGAUGUCUCUGAGAGGCUGCUGAGGCUUCGUCUCUGAAGACACACAGAGCAGUGCAUUCUGGGAGAGUUAGCCAGAGUCUUCAACAGGAAGUGACCUCAGACAGCCAAAGAAACUCACUCUCCACUUUGAUGAAAAAGAUCAAACUAUCUUUUCACACGUGCUCCGACUCUGAAGAGCUGCUGACACUGACGGGGGAAUCAUGCGCUGUGAUUGGCUAAGAGGAAAGUCAACAAUUAUUUAUAUUUACAGAGACGUGUUUCCAUGGAUACCAGACUGAUGACAUCACGUUUCACUUUGCGUCGUCCAAACAGCAGUCAGUCCAUUAAUCAAUCACUGUUACACAGACUUUACCGCUGCACUUGAACGCACCGUUACUGCGCCGUCGGGAGGAUAAUUGAUUAUUGAUUAUUGAUACAGGUGUGUUCUGACUCCUCCCACCGAGGGGCGGGGCUAACCAAUCAGCUGCUCCGACCUGCAGACUGUUGAAACACCAGGACCAGGUUUUAUAGUUUGAAAGAAGACUUUGAAAGUCCAGCUGCUACAGAGGAACCAGGUCUGAACUGGUCUGAACCCAGGCUAACCCAGGUUAAACCCAGGCUAACCCAGGUUAAACCCAAACUGGUCAUGUGAAGGUUUAUUUUAAGUUUUGAAAAGUCUGUCCUCGAACAUUUUUUAUGUCUCUGAAAAUUAUGCA